UCGGGCAAGUUGGUACCGGUACUCAGUGCAAAGUUCAGAAUUUCUCAUUUGCAAUGCACUUUCCUACUUCCGGCCAUUUAGUCACUCCAAUAACUUGCCGAAAACCUCUCGACCACCCCUCAAAAGAUGUGGAAUAAUUGCAAUUACUAUUCUAACACUCGAACUUCAUAAUUUGCUAAAAUUUAGUGUACUACAGUAGAACACUCUUGUAGGUUGAAUUUGAAGCUCCAUUGUGUUGAUUUUGGCUUUGCACAAAUUUUUCCGGGAUUAAGAUAAUUUUUAUCUAUUUUCUAUUUGAUUUUUGGUGAAUUUCGUGGUAAGCUUUUUAGAAACUUGUAAACCGUUGGGAAUUUUUUUUAGGGCAUAAGAAGUUUAGGGAUAACUUCGUCGGAGGAUUGAACGAGAUUUCAGAAGUUAUCCGAGCCUUCCACAGUGGGAGAGGCUUGGGAUCGUGGCAACGGGUUAGCGACUAGCUAGAGCCUCCUCGGUGUCAUUUUAGAUGAACCCAUUGACAUCUUUCUUUUGAUUUUAGUUUCAAAGAUAUAUAAUUGUAUUUUGUUUAGAGAUCUCCUAGCUUUCAAAAUGUACCAUUUGUACAAACUUAUUGGAUAUCUUGUGAAUGUAACUGUACUAGACUUGUUUUUGUGGUA